CAGCAGCCGCGGUAAUACGUAGGGUGCAAGCGUUAAUCGGAAUUACUGGGCGUAAAGCGUGCGCAGGCGGUUGUGUAAGACAGGUGUGAAAUCCCCGGGCUUAACCUGGGAACUGCGCUUGUGACUGCACAGCUAGAGUAUGGCAGAGGGGGGUGGAAUUCCACGUGUAGCAGUGAAAUGCGUAGAGAUGUGGAGGAACACCGAUGGCGAAGGCAAUCCCCUGGGCCUGCACUGACGCUCAUGCACGAAAGCGUGGGGAGCGAACAGGAUUAGAUACCCGCGUAGUCCCUGUCUCUUAUAC
rnacentral:rRNA from 1 species